rnacentral:rRNA from 1 species
AUUGAACGCUGGCGGCAGGCUUAACACAGGAAAGUCGAGCGAGAGGCGGACGGGUGAGUAAUGUCUGGGAAACUGCCUGAUGGAGGGGGAUAACUACUGGAAACGGUAGCUAAUACCGCAUACCAUCAGAUGUGCCCAGAUGGGAUUAGCUAGUAGGUGGGGUAAUGGCUACCCUAGGCGACGAUCCCUAGCUGGUCUGAGAGGAUGACCAGCCGCACUUGAACUGAGACACGGUCCAGACUCCUACGGGAGGCAGCAGUGGGGAAUAUUGCACAAUGGGCGCAAGCCUGUUGCAGACAUGCAUCGUGUGUGAAAAAGGCCUUCGGGUUGUAAAGCACUUUCAGCGAGGAGGCGUUACUCGCAGAAGAAGCACCGGCUAACUCCAUGCCAGCCGCCGCGGUAAUAC